rnacentral:rRNA from 1 species
AUGGCGCGUGUGGAGGCGCUGAGCAUGAGCGGCCUGUCGGUGAUCCCGGUUGAGUACGUGCGGUCGAUGGAUGAGCGUCAGAGCCUGGGGGACGCCUACGACCAGGCGGCGGCCAGUUGGUCCACGGCGGGCUGCCAGCGUAUCCCCAUCGUCAACGUGGCCCCGUUCGACGGGGCCGACCCGAGCUCUCCGGCGAGCGCCGCUGUCGUCGACGCCGUUCGCGCGGCCGCGGAGGACUGGGGCGUCAUGCACGUGGCCGGCCACGGCAUCCAGGACGAUCUGAUCGACGCGCUGCGCGGCGCUGGGAUGGGGUUCUUCGGCAUGCCGAUCGCCGACAAGGAGGCCUACGCCAACAACCCGGCGGCCGGGAUAUUGGAGGGCUACGGCAGCCGGCUCGCGGGCUCCGCCGGCGAGGACGGGAAGAGGGAGUGGGAGGACUAUUUGUUCCACCAGCUCCACCCCGACGCACGUGCGGACCACGCGCGCUGGCCGGCUCACCCACCAGAGUACGUGCCCGUCACGAAGAGCUUCGGGGAGCGCGUGAGUGAGCUGGCGGCCCGGCUCCUCGCCAUCCUCUCCCUCGGGCUCGGCGUCCCGGCGCCAACGCUAGAGCGCCGCCUCCGCCUCAGCGACGAAGAAGUCGCCGUCGAGGACGAUCUGCUGCUGAAGAUGAAGAUCAACUACUACCCGCCGUGCCCGCAGCCAGAGCUGGCGGUGGGUGUGGAGGCGCACACCGACGUCUCCGCGCUCUCCUUCAUCCUCACCAAUGGUGUACCGGGCCUCCAGGUCCUUAACAGUGCCGGGGCAUGGGUUACCGCGCGCGAUGAGCCCGGAACCCUCGUGGUCCACGUCGGUGACGCGCUCGAAAUCCUCAGCAACGGGCGGUACACAAGCGUGCUCCACCGCGGGCUGGUCAACCGCCGUACCGUGCGCAUCUCAUGGGUGGUCUUCGCCGAGCCGCCACCCGACUCCGUGCGGCUGCGGCCGCUGCCGGAGCUCCUUGUGAACGGCGCCGAGCCACGCUUCGAGCCGCGCACCUUCAGGCAGCACCUGGAAAACAAGGUCCUCAAGAAGAAGGAUUAA